UUGGAGAAAGUCAUGAUGGUUAUGUGGUUGGCUUGAAACCAAUUAUAGGGGGUUCAAUUCCUUCCUUUCUCAU
rnacentral:tRNA from 1 species